CCCAAACUUAAACGGAUGCUUGUCCUCAAGCGUCGACGACUCUACAAAAAUACAAUGCAAUGCAUGAAUGCAACUACGUGAUGAAUGAUCGAAUCAUGAAGCCAUUGCCUUGCUAAUUAUAAUACCUCAGAUUGUGCUAGUGUUCUCAACUUUCACUUCGCUCGCGACUAAAUUAAAUAUUCUUCUAUUACAAGUGUGGAGUGCCCGUGUGUGCAAGCAUGCUCUUUGAUUGAGACAAGAUAAAACUACUACUCCCCACAGAAUCCCAAUCAUGAACUGUAAAAGUUUAAAAACUAACACCCCGUCACUUAAGUCCACUAAAAGCCGAGGUCCCAAAGAAUGUCCACACCCUUCUAUUUUAUUCUACAUAUUAAAAUUUUUAUAUUGGUGAUUAAUAGCUCGGUCUAAGGUUAGGCGCUUCGCAGUGUAAAUGCGUUACGAACACCAUAAGACUUCACCCACCAAUUAUUCACUUUAUUCUAGUGGUUUAUUUAACCGUGCAAUGGUUGAGAUCCCUAAAGAUUUAUGCACUAGUACCCAUGUAGCGAGCGUUGGGUCAACAAUCCCAAACCACGAAGGGCUUUAGGUUGUUAGGCACAAAGUCCCCUCAGACUUAAUUACUCGAGUACUAAUGAGCUCAACCUAGUUAAUUCUACCACUUAUUUUCUAGUGAAUUUAUUGAUACUAUUUUUUCUUUUCUUUUUCUUUUUUUUUCUAUUUUUUUUCUUUUCUCUUUUAUCUCUUUUUUUUUUCUUUUAUUUUUCUAGAAAGGUAUAUCUACUCCUCAGUUCCCCCAAACUUAAGAUUUACAGACCUAAGCUGAAGGAUGUUCAAUUCAAUCCUAGAAUUCAAGGAAAUUCGUCUAAAUCCUAUCUCAAGAACAUAUGUGAAUUACAAUUUCCAACACAAGUAACUUCCAAAUAUUAACCUAGUAUUGCAAUUGAAAUUACUAAUCAAGAACUACGCACUUAACUCAUCAUAGGUAAUUAGCUUGGCUUAACUUCAUAAUUCAUGCAAAUGCUCGU
rnacentral:lncRNA from 1 species